CUGUUCAGCUCUGCCUUCUUUGAGGGGGCAGGGAUGGGGCAGGGAGCACAUUGUAAUACUAACGGCCUCAGAGCUGCCCCCUGAUGUCCUCCUGCCUCUUCCCCGUGCCUUUGUCUCUUACAGUGGAUGAUGAAGAUGCCACCGUCAACAAGAUUGCGCUCGAGCUGUGCACCUUUACCCUGGCAAUUGCCCUGGGUGCUGUCCUGCUCCUGCCCUUCUCCAUCAUCAGCAAUGAGGUGCUGCUCUCCCUGCCUCGGAACUACUACAUCCAGUGGCUCAACGGCUCCCUCAUCCAUGGCCUCUGGAACCUUGUUUUUCUCUUCUCCAACCUGUCCCUCAUCUUCCUCAUGCCCUUUGCAUAUUUCUUCACUGAGUCUGAGGGCUUUGCUGGCUCCAGAAAGGGUGUCCUGGGCCGGGUCUAUGAGACAGUGGUGAUGUUGAUGCUCCUCACUCUGCUGGUGCUAGGUAUGGUGUGGGUGGCAUCAGCCAUUGUGGACAAGAACAAGGCCAACAGAGAGUCACUCUAUGACUUUUGGGAGUACUAUCUCCCCUACCUCUACUCAUGCAUCUCCUUCCUUGGGGUUC
rnacentral:sRNA from 1 species